UUUCCGUCGAAAAAGUAUUAGUUUCCAACGGAAAUUUUCGGCAAAUAAUAUUCCGUCGAAAAUGUUUAUGCUAUUGAUGGAAUUUUCCGACAAAAAGCAUUCCUUCGGAAAACCUUUGUUAUCAAUGGAUUGUGGCCCAUGGAUUUGGGUUUGUCCGAAAUAAUUCACAAGAUAAGGAAGCAACCCUAGCGCCGUCCUUUUUUUCACUUCACAUUGACUCUGACCUCACUCACUCUUCAAUGCCCCGAGUCCACGUUCCCCAGCUGUUGCAGCCACCAGGUCGCCGUCACACAUGCCGCACCACCUUCGCGUAAGCUGCCGCGAAGUUGCUUUCGUGGCUGCCGUCACCUAUAUAGAAAAUACAGGCAUUGUUUUCCAGGGAUACACUUCAGAUCAAAGGAGGGCAGCCUCCCUUCCCGCGACUGAUGAUUAGGUGGAUGACUAUGAAGAACCUGAUGCUAGAGGACACGGGAAC